UACUACCGAAGCUACGGCAUCAGUAAUGAUGGGUAGGGGAGCUUCCCAUACGGGUUGAAGCAUGACCGUAAGGACAUGUGGACAGUAUGGGAGUGAGAAUGUUGGCAUGAGUAGCGAGAUGUGGGUGAGAAUCCCACAGGCCGUAAACCCAAGGUUUCCAGGGGAAGGUUCGUCCGCCCUGGGUUAGUCGGGACCUAAGCUGAGGCCGAAAGGCGUAGGUGAUGGACAACAGGUUGAUAUUCCUGUACUACCGAUAACCGUUUGAGAGAAGGGAUGACACAGUAGGAUAAGCUAAGCACACUGUUGGUUAUGUGUGCCCAAGCAUUGAGGCAGUCAAAGUAGGCAAAUCCGCUUUGAUAAUGCUGGGAUGUGAUGGGGAGCGAAAUUUAGUAGCGAAGUAGCUGAUUUCACACUGUCAAGAAAAGUCUCUAUCGAGGGUAAAGGUACCCGUACCGCAAACCGACACAGGUGGGUGAGGAGAGUAUCCUAAGGCCAGCGAGAGAACUGUUGUUAAGGAACUCGGCAAAAUGACCCCGUAACUUAGGGAUAAGGGGUGCCACCAUCAGGUGGCCGCAGAGAAUAGGCCCAAGCGACUGUUUACCAAAAACAUAGGUUUCUGCUAAGUCGCAAGACGAUGUAUAGGAGCUGACGCCUGCCCGGUGCUGGAAGGUUAAGGGGAUCUGUUAGAGCAAUCGAAGCAGUGAACUUAAGCCCCAGUAAACGGCGGCCGUAACUAUAACGGUCCUAAGGUAGCGAAAUUCCUUGUCGGGUAAGUUCCGACCCGCACGAAAGGCGUAACGAUUUGGGCACUGUCUCAACAACAGACUCGGUGAAAUUGUAAUUCCGGUGAAGAUGCCGGAUACCUGCGACAGGACGGAAAGACCCCAUGGAGCUUUACUGUAGCUUGACAUUGGGUCUUGGUACUACAUGUACAGGAUAGGUGGGAGGCUUUGAAACCAGGACGCCAGUUUUGGCGGAGCCAUCCUUGGGAUACCACCCUUGUAGUACUGGGACUCUAACCAUAGGCCAUGAAUCUGGUCUUGGGACACUGUCAGGUGGGCAGUUUGACUGGGGCGGUCGCCUCCCAAAAGG
rnacentral:rRNA from 1 species